rnacentral:rRNA from 1 species
AUACGGAGGGGGCUAGCGUUGUUCGGAAUUACUGGGCGUAAAGCGCACGUAGGCGGACUGGUCAGUUGGGGGUGAAAUCCCAGGGCUUAACCCUGGAACUGCCUUCAAUACUACCAGUCUUGAGACCGAGAGAGGUGAGUGGAAUUCCUAGUGUAGAGGUGAAAUUCGUAGAUAUUAGGAAGAACACCAGUGGCGAAGGCGGCUCACUGGCUCGGUACUGACGCUGAGGUGCGAAAGCGUGGGGAGCAAACAGGAUUAGAUACCCCAGUAGUCC